rnacentral:rRNA from 1 species
UACGUAGGGUGCGAGCGUUGUCCGGAAUUAUUGGGCGUAAAGAGCUCGUAGGCGGCCUGUCGCGUCGGAUGUGAAAGCCCGGGGCUUAACCCCGGGUCUGCAUUCGAUACGGGCAGGCUAGAGUUCGGUAGGGGAGAUCGGAAUUCCUGGUGUAGCGGUGAAAUGCGCAGAUAUCAGGAGGAACACCGGUGGCGAAGGCGGGUCUCUGGGCAGUAACUGACGCUGAGGAGCGAAAGCGUGGGGAGCGAACAGG